rnacentral:antisense_RNA from 1 species
ACUUGCUCUUUUUUCCUCCCAUUUUAGCAGCCAAGGAUGGGAAUUACACAGCGAAAUGCAGGCUAAUCAGCUAAAUCUAGAUUAAAUAUGCUAGUCCUUGGGGACCUUGAGCUGAAUUAAUGGAAACCGAGGUUUUUAAUGUUCCAGACUAAUUUUGGAAGCUCACUUCCAGCAGAGGCAAACUUGAGGCUGUCCAAAGGGAGCAGAUGGCAAGGCUUUCUCCAGGUACAUCAACUGCUGAAACAGCCCUCGGCAAAACCACGAGGAAGGAAUGCUCUUCCCUAGAGAUCCUGGUGGUGAAUUCUCUUAUAUCCUUCAAGUCUGCUCAAAUGUUACUUCUCAAACAGAGCAAGAAGAUCGAAGCAAAUGAACAAAGGUGGGAUCUGGUUCCAAUAAUGAAGAAUGUGAUGACUACAUGUAUAUCAUUCUGGAACAGAGAAAAGACUGCCUGCAGCAAUAUCUCUAAAAAAUAUCUGUGGCAGACUCAGUGGAUGGUCAAGUUUGGCUCUGAAACAAGUCUCCUCAUUUGUCAGAGAAAGGACAGAGAAGAUCCAGCUUAUGUGAUUAAUUCAAUGAUAUUAGUAGAGAUCAUCGAUACAAUGAUCAAAAUAAGAACAUUGCUUUUUGCAAAAUCAGAUUAAACUGCACUCCAAAACAAUACUGAAUCAUGUAAAAGCAGAACUUCCUCUCAGAGAUUUCUGUAUGCAAAGACAAAACAAUUAGGUCACAGGAUACCAUGUUCUUGAGACUGUAUGUCCUUAUUAAGUCACAUUUUCAUUCAGAUAUGUACAAGACCAUUUGGUAUUUGGUAAAAAGGUUAUGUUUAUCUGUGUUUUCCUGAAUAUAGAAUGAAUAUCUUUAUGACAAAAAGCUUUAGCUCAGAAGAAUCCUUAUCGCAUUUAAAAUAAUUAACAAUUAUAGUGCAUAAUGUAUAAUUCAAGGGUUUUCUGUAGCCCAUUUCCCAUCUACCCUGUCCCUGUCCCCACACUCCUUCCUCACCUCCACCCAACCUCCACCAGAGAUAAUUAAGCUUUUAAGAAUGAGAUCGAUCACUUAAAAGUAAUACAUUUUUACUUUAUUUCUUUAAUCCAUAUUUAGACUUUCCUACCUGCCAAAAACUUUGUAUCUUUUAAACUUGGUAUUCUACUUCUUUCUCUCAUCUCAAAUUAUACGCAAAUCAGUGUGUUAGAAAUUCCGGUGGGUUUAAUUGAACAGAAAGUUGGGUUAUCUUGUAUCCCCUCCUUUUUUUUUUCUUUUGGGACAUAACCUUUGUUUCCCACUUGUGAUUCAAGAAUCUAUCUUGGUAUGAUUCAAUACCUUUUAUCAGCUGGUUCUAAACAAGUUUCACCACCAUAUUGCCUCUUCAUUCUUCUGAAAAUACACUAUUUUCUAGUCAGGCCAAACUAUACAUUCUUUCCAGAGCUGACCACAUUUGUUAUGUUAAAUUCCUAGCUAAAUGCCUUCUCUAACAUUUACUACUUAUCCUUCUGGAUACAACCCCAAUGUCACCACCUCCUUGAGAGCACCCCUGAUUCCACAGGGUUAAGGGUCAGGGUGGCGUGGGAAGACCACACAUGUCCUCUGCCGUCAUUCAGAGGUAGGUAUAAGUGAAAUGGAAAAGUUCCCUGGUCCCCCUCACAGGACAGGGAACAGGUCCCCCUCACAGGACAGAGGUAUGGCUCUCUUUUUGGCUGAUAUGAGCUCAAACCCCUUACAAGAGGUGGAGCAUGCAGAUGGGCAGGUGCAGGAACCAGAGCGAGAGUUUUUGGGCUCCCGCCCCACAGCAGUGUCUAGAGGUGAGUUUCUGUGAUUCCCAAAACCCAAGUGGGCACAUGUUACAGUGUGCUCUUCUAGUGUUGCUGUCCAAGUGUUAACUAGCUUAGUGGACCCUCUGCCUUUUUGCAAGGGCAGAGGGCCAAUGUGACAGCUUUCUGUAUUCUGAGCUCUUGUCCAGCAUCCAGGAAGAAUCAGGUGACACAGGGACUUGAAGGAUGAAUGUGGGGGUUUUACUGAGUGGUGGAGGUGGUACUCAGCAGGAUAGAUGGGAAGCUGGACAGAGGAUGGAGUGGGAAAAUCAUCUUCCCCUGGAGCUUGGCCAUCCACUGGCUGAUUCUCUGACCAUCCCCAGCUGAACUCCUCCUAAUAGUCCCUCUCUUCUCUCCUCUGCUGCAUUGUUCUGCCAUCCAAUUUGCUAAUCUCCUCGUUUCCUUGUUUCCUGUCUCCUCAUCUGCUCCUGGAGCCUGGGGUUUGGAGUUUAUACGGGUACAGGACAGGGUGCAUGGCAGGUCAAAAGGCAACUUUUUGGGCAUGAAAACAGGAAUGCCUGUCCUGUAUCCAGGCUAGAGGGUGGGGUCUUUGCUGGGGAACUGCCCUCUUCUACCCAGUAUUUCCCUGUCUCCUUUCUGCAUCAUAAAGAUGUGUGGUACCAAGUUGGUGCAGACAUGAAAUUCAUCUGUUUCUUUAUGUUUUCUCCCUUUGCUCUAAAAGGGUCCAUAUUUGCCUGCAUUCUAGUGCUCACCACACCACAUUGGGGUCUUUAGUUAUAUGUCUGGUUUCUUCAGUAGACUAAUGGUGUUCCCUGUGCAAGAUUCUUAGAUGGGCCUCAAGAAAAUGGUUGAGUUGC